rnacentral:lncRNA from 1 species
CCGUGGCAGCUACCUGCGAAACCCUGCCUUCCCCGGUAUUUCGGGGCACCCUCAUCCAGUCACCCUGGUCAACUUCUCAGUGGAUCGCUCAGGUUCCGCACCCACCACCAGCAUCCAACGGAAUCUGCUGGAUCGCCAGCGGCUCAACUCCAUUCCUGGUCAGCUCGCAAGUUAAGUUUAUCCCAGGUCAUCACCGUCCAUCGACUAGGGGCACUUCACCUUCCAAAAUCAAAAGGAUAAUCAAGCUUGACAGGUCUCGGUCCUGGGAUCUCCCGAGCACAUUGCUGCGUGCUCUACCAGUAGGGCCUGACCUAUGUGUGAAUGUUGCGGUGCCUCGUACACAUUCCUUGCCUCCCAUGCUUCGUACACAUUCCUUGCCUCCCAUGCCUCGUACACAUUCCAGUGUACAUUCCAGCAUGUCGGACGCGGUGCAAGACUAUUUCCCUAAGUUCACAUUGAUUUUGUAAGCUCGAAAUACUUUGUCACGCUUACUUCCAUUGAGUGGUUUUUUUUAAUACUUGCCGCAGGUAAGCAUUUGAUAGGCAUGUCUCAGCCUUCAUGCUGCAAGUUUGAUACUUCAAGCACGUGUGCCUAUCACUGGACUGUCCGGAGGAAAGUGAAGAGGACAUGCUUUACCAUCAGGCAAGCUUUUCGGAGUUACAGCUGGCGUGACACACUUGUGGGGACCUACACGAAAAUGUGAGUAGCUCUCUGGACCCAAUCAGCUGCGAAUCUGAUGUUAAGUCAUGCUCUGCUGUCUGGUCAAUCAGAUUGCCAGUUGCGCACACCGGUCUAUGAGCACACCAACAACCAUCCUAACAAGCACGCAAUCUUUUUGGGUGAGGCCCCGGGCGCGAAGCGCCAUUCGGGGGGCCGAGCCCCCGGGGUUCACUGCUGUCAGUCAGUCAGUCAGUCAGUCAGUCAGUCAGUCAGUCAGUGGCUUACAUAUCUCGCCCCGCAAAAAAUAGCGUUUGAAUGCUAUAUCCAUUCUAUAUCGAAAUGCCAAAGGAGACAUUCCAGAUAAAUCGGAGCGCGAAGAUAACUUUCCAUGGCUCCGAGUUUGACAUUAAGUUACAUAUCUCGCUCCGCAAAAGAUUGAAUGUAGAAGCUAUAUCUAUUCUACAUCCACCUGCUAAAGGAGACAUUCCAGAUAAAUCAGAGCGCGACAAAGAUAGCUUUCCAUGGCUCCGAGUUUGACGGAGGAGGGCCGGGCCGCCCAGGUCGGGCCGUUGCGCCGUUGCCGGCCGCCUUGCCGCCCGUGUCCCCGCCGGCGGCGGCGGCCGCUGACCAGCCGAUCCGCCGCGGCCGCGGCCGGCCACCCAGCAAAGGGCCGUGCCCAGCAGAGGGCAAGUGGCUGCACCGGGGCCGAGCCCCUUUUCGGCUUUGAAAAGCCGCCCCCCUAGUCGUUUCUGAAAUGCAGGUGCACAAUUAGGUCACGCCCAUUGGCUUAGUCUAGGAUAUUGGAGUUGUCGACAUGUCAGCUAAAGUGGCAGCUGCCACAAUUCACGUGUGGUUCGUGAAUUUGUUUUUUUCUGCUAACCUGUGCAAACAGGUAUAUUUUGCCUUGUGGUGCAUUAUUCAAGCAACUGUUCCUCAUUGGUCAUGUGUGCGCGUGUAUUUGCUAGGUGACUCGGUGGCUAGGAGGCUAGGAGGCGUGGUGACUUGGCAGCUUGGUGGCUUGGAGGUGAGGUGGCUCGGUGGCUAGGAGGCUUGGUGGCUCAGUGGCUCGGUGGCUAGGCGGCUUCACAGCUAGGCGGCUUGGCAGCUACAUGGCUUGGAGGCUAGGCGGCGAGGAGGCUAGGAGGCUGGGCAGCUAGGCAGCUAAGUGGCUAGGUAUAAAAUCUAUCUGGAUGUUUCUUAAGAGUUAGGGAAUGCCCGGAGUGAGUGAGUGUCACUCAUGGGGGUUGUUGGCAAGUGAUUGACACUCAUACUAUGUGUAGUACACCAGAGAAUGGUGACAGCAGUAAUCGGACCUGGGGAGUUCAGUGCGUUGCUUUGUCUUAACAGGCUGUGAGCCCUAUUGAGAGUGAAAACAUAACCGGAUGUUGAACACCACAUGAUCAGGUCUCCCACCCAGUCAGAGUCGCUAUACCUAGACAUUUGAGCAUCAUCAACACGCCCAAAACGCAAUCCUAGUUCGUGUGUACCCACCAGGUAACAACGAAUGCCGGUUGCCAGGUUCAUGGCACUCUUUGAGGGUGUGGCCAUAUGCCGGAACAAAAUACUCAAUGCAUAAGCAAUGUCAGGCUGUGGAUUCAUCUCUAGGUAGUUCAACUCUCCCACGAAAGCCCUAAACUUCGUGGGAUUGCUCAGCAGCUCGUUCUGAUCCCCAUAGCCUAAAGCCUGAAGGUAAAGGGGUAGACUGGAGCUUGGCAUCCACCAUCUGAUGAUAUGCUCUAGCAGCUGCUCAAUAUACCUAUGUUGCGAGAACACCAGCUCACCUGCCUUCUCAUUCCUAAUCUCCAUGCCUAAAAACACCUGCACUUCUCUAAGGUCUCGCACCUUAAAAACCUUCACAAUGGCUGCGUUAAGAGCACGGACCAUUUCUGGAUCCUCUGAUGCCAUGAUGGUAUC